rnacentral:tRNA from 1 species
CGGGGCGUAGCUCAGCCAGGUAGAGCGGGCGCUUUGGGAGCGUCAGGUCGGAGGAUCGAAGCCUCUCGCCCCGA